rnacentral:rRNA from 1 species
UACGUAGGGCGCAAGCGUUGUCCGGAAUUAUUGGGCGUAAAGAGCUCGUAGGCGGCUUGUCACGUCGGGUGUGAAAGCCCGGGGCUUAACCCCGGGUCUGCAUUCGAUACGGGCUGUCUGGAGUGUGGUAGGGGAGAUCGGAAUUCCUGGUGUAGCGGUGAAAUGCGCAGAUAUCAGGAGGAACACCGGUGGCGAAGGCGGAUCUCUGGGCCAUUACUGACGCUGAGGAGCGAAAGCGUGGGGAGCGAACAGG